GCCCCCAUUGUCUAAUGGUUAUGACGUCAGACUUCUAACCUCAUGGGGGUUUAUCUGGAGGUUGCGGGUUCGAGUCCCGCUGGGGGUA
rfam:Punctularia strigosozonata HHB-11173 SS5 unplaced genomic scaffold PTNSTscaffold_4, whole genome shotgun sequence.